GACGAACGCUGGCGGCGUGCCUAAUACAUGCAAGUCGAGCGAUGAAGACUGGUGCUUGCACCAAGUUGAAGAGCAGCGAACGGGUGAGUAACGCGUGGGGAAUCUGCCUGUGAGCGGGGGACAACAUGGGGAAACGAAUGCUAAUACCGCAUAAUAACUUGAAACAUAAUUGGGAAGGGUGAAAGAUGCAAUUGCAUCACUCAAAGAUGAUCCCGCGUUGUAUUAGCUAGGUGGUGAGGUAAAGGGUCACCAAGGCGAUGAUACAUAGCCGACCUGAGAGGGUGAGCGGCCACCUUGGGAGUGAGACACGGCACACAGUCCUAAGGGAGGCAGCAGGAGGGAAUCUUCGGAAAUGGAUGAAAGUCUGACCGAGCAACGCCGCGUGAGUGAAGAAGGUUGCCGGGUCGUGAAACUCUGUUGGUAGAGAAGAACGUUGGUGCGAGUGGAACGCUCAGUGAGUGACGGUAACUGCCAAGAAAGGGACGGCUAACUACGUG
rnacentral:rRNA from 1 species